GACGAACGCUGGCGGCGUGCCUAAUACAUGCAAGUAGAACGCACAGUUUAUACCGUAGCUUGCUACACCAUAAACUGUGAGUUGCGAACGGGUGAGUAACGCGUAGGUAACCUGCCUGGUAGCGGGGGAUAACUAUUGGAAACGAUAGCUAAUACCGCAUAAUAUUGAUUAUUGCAUGAUAAUUGAUUGAAAGAUGCUAUUGCAUCACUACCAGAUGGACCUGCGUUGUAUUAGCUAGUAGGUGAGGUAACGGCUCACCUAGGCGACGAUACAUAGCCGACCUGAGAGGGUGAUCGGCCACACUGGGACUGAGACACGGCCCAGACUCCUACGGGAGGCAGCAGUAGGGAAUCUUCGGCAAUGGACGAAAGUCUGACCGAGCAACGCCGCGUGAGUGAAGAAGGUUUUCGGAUCGUAAAGCUCUGUUGUAAGAGAAGAACGGGUGUGAGAG
rnacentral:rRNA from 1 species